rnacentral:tRNA from 1 species
ACCUAACUGGCUCAGUUGGAAGAGCACGGGACUCUUGAUCUUGGGGUCAUGAGUUCAACCCCCAAGUUGAGUG